GAUGAACGCUGGCGGCGCGCCUAAUACAUGCAAGUCGAGCGAACAGAUAAGGAGCUUGCUCCUUUGACGUUAGCGGCGGACGGGUGAGUAACACGUGGGUAACCUACCUAUAAGACUGGGAUAACUUCGGGAAACCGGAGCUAAUACCGGAUAACAUUUGGAACCGCAUGGUUCUAAAGUGAAAGAUGGUUUUGCUAUCACUUAUAGAUGGGCCCGCGCCGUAUUAGCUAGUUGGUAAGGUAACGGCUUACCAAGGCGACGAUACGUAGCCGACCUGAGAGGGUGAUCGGCCACACUGGAACUGAGACACGGUCCAGACUCCUACGGGAGGCAGCAGUAGGGAAUCUUCCGCAAUGGGCGAAAGCCUGACGGAGCAACGCCGCGUGAGUGAUGAAGGGUUUCGGCUCGUAAAACUCUGUUAUUAGGGAAGAACAAAUGUGUAAGUAACUGUGCACGUCUUGACGGUACCUAAUCAGAAAGCCACGGCUAACUACGUG
rnacentral:rRNA from 1 species